rnacentral:lncRNA from 1 species
GAGAAGAAACUAGUUGAAUCUAAGGAAUUUGGUAGAGGGGGACUUGUUUGACUGCAAAGUCGAUUAAAAUUUUUUUGUUCACCAAUGAAAUUGGAAGGGAAAGGCAUACAAAUAAUCCAAGGCAAAGAGAGAAAACAAAGGGCUAAUGUUAAUGUUGAUCACAUGAUAAAUUAGUUAUCAUAUUAAUUUUAUAUACAUUACAGAAAAUUCAGAGAUCUAAAAUUAACGAUCAAUUUGUUGCGAAAAAUUACAAAUCCCUUCAGGCUACAGUCUACAAGUUGUUCAACCAUGGCCAACGAUUUCUUGCUUAUCAAAAUUGAAAGAGUGGUUGAAUGGAUGAUCAAUUGGGACCCCAGCAGCUGAGGUACAUGACUUUCCUGAGAGACUCCUCAGACUGCUUUAUCUUCUCAUCUUGUCUAACUUGAAUUGAGAUCAAAGCAGAAGAUGGGGAAGAGAACUUGUUGGCCUGAGAAAACGACCCAAGUUGGUUCUUGGCAUGCUGCUGCAGUAAUCUCAUAGUAUAAUUCCACCUGCAGAUCCCCUGGUCUUUCAAGGCCUCCACAACUCCAACACUUGCUGCCACUACCCAACCUCUCCUUGCUGCUGCUGAUGAAAUAGUCAUAUUUUCUAUCUGUAUAUAUUUUUUAACAAAUAACUCUUGAUGGAAAUUGCAAGUGAAGAAAACUGAUGUUUGUUUGAUGUGUUUGAAUUUUGAUUUGGUGAAGAAAAUGGUGAGUGGGUGUUGCUUUUAUAUGGAGUAACACUUCAACUAAAUUCAUGAAUGUAGGAGGAAAGUGGAAGCCCAUAUAAUGUGGGAAAAACCAUGGGAAGCCAAUGGUUUACUUAGCUGGUCAGACUCACUCAUUGACAGAGGAGACAAACUUAGGUUGGGUAGGACCAAGCAAAGGCACACGGUUUUCCUUUAAAAAAAUCCAUUUAAGCCUCAAGUAUGGGAGGAGAUACCACUUGUUUUACUUUAUGGAGCUAAAACAGGGACUCGGUUUUUUUUUUUUUUUUUUUUUUUUAAAUAAGAAUUAGAGAUGUCAUUGUUAAAAGAAGUUGAGAUUUAUAUCAUAAAACUAAUUGGUAUUCUAACUCGAUUUUUCAUAAGUACAUGCAGGGUUUAUUUUAUUUUAUUUUUAUGUGAGAUUCUUCCCCCCAACAAUUUUCCUAAAUUAGAGAAUGGUUAUUAGAAAAUAUUUAGGUUUGAGUCUCAUACUAAAUGCCUAAAAGGGAUAAAACCAUGAAACAAACUAGUAAAGUCAUCCAAUCUGAUACUAAAUGCCUAAAUUGCGUUGGACUGGAUUCUCACUAGUAAAGUCAUCCAAUCUGAUUCAAUCAUGUUGGUUUGAAAUUUAGGGAUCCAAAACCAUUAAAAUCGGAUUGAACCAGAUUGGAUCAGUCGGUUUGGGAGGUUUGAAAGGGAUCUUCAACACCCCUACAAUCGUGGCUAAUCUUCUGUCCUAGUUCAGACUAUGUUUCUAUUUCUGUUCUUUUGAUCUAAUGGAAAGUUUUUGCUCCCUUUUCUUUUGGUAUGGUUGGAUGUUGCUAAUUCUUCACUCUUUUGGUAUGGUUGAACGUCUUGCCAGCGACCACGGAGGCAGCCACACUGGAGCAAACGAGAUACAAACAAUUUUGUCUCAAAUUUGAAAAUCACCUAACUACGUUCAGCAACAUUUCAAGGAAAGUGAGAGUAUAAUAGGCGCUUUUGUCAAUCCAUCAUAGCACCAUUUUUUGUGGGGGCAAUAUUUAAACUUCAAUUUCCAUAAGAGCCCUUCUUCAAAUGUACCGUUGUGAAAAUAAAAAAAUUCAACUCAAUAGUGAUCAGCAAUUCUCAGAUUUAUAUGUUUGAUUUACAUGGCAAUUGUCAUAACAUAACAAAAUUUACAUCAAUUUGCCAGGACCUAGCAGACAUCAAUUGCCUGCCACUUACGAUCCCAAACGAUAGCCUUUGCUAAUAACUUAAGGACCCCUUCAUGGGGUGUUCCAUCAGCAAGCGCUUACACAAAAACAUGCAAUCUUAAUUUGCUCUUGUUUCUGUGAAUGAAUAAUUGAUUAGUUGUUGGGACCCCAGCAGCUGAGGUACAUGACUGUCCUCAAAGACUCCUCUGAUUUCUUCAUCUUCUCAUCUCUCACUUUACUCAGAACUGAAGCAGAAGGAGAAGAGAGCUUGCUGUUGGCCUGAGAAAAUGACCUCACUUGGCUCUUGGCUUGUUGGCCUACAUAUCUCAAAGCAGAGUUCCAUCUGCAAAUCCCUUGGUCCUUGAGUGCCUCCACAACUCCAACACUUGCUGCCACUAUAGCCUUGCUUGCACUUGAUGAACUCAUGAUUUCUUUUCUCUCCUUUGGGUAUUCUGAAUUCUUUUGGUAGUGAUUGUGAAUGUUUAAGUGUUUGAUGAAGGAUAUGAGCAUGAAGCGCUCUUUAUAUGGGAACUAGAAAGGGUGGGCCUUUCCACCAAUUACUAGAGGCGGUUUAGAGUGUAAAGCCAAUGGUAUAUAUAUUUCUUUUCUUGUCUUUUUGUCACACUCAUUACCACUAACUAUACAAAUGAGCACACGGUUUUCCUUAUCAAAUCCACCUAAGCCUCAGGUAUGGGAGGAAACACCACCUGCUUUUGUUUGUUACAGUGAAAAUGUGAAUGUAUAUACAGAUAAAAUGUCAAUAGCAUGUCAAUUAAAGUAACACGUAUUAAUACUAACAUAUCGAUACACACUAGGUUUUUUUUUUUUAACAAAUUCUAGCUACUUGAAUCUUUAAGUGCAUGAACCAGAGAAAAAAUGGAUAACUUCCAUAUUUGGAAAAUGAGUAAUUUUGAUGAUAAUAAAUCAACACAGUAAUUAUAUCCUCAUCCAUGAGAAGAAACUAGUUGAAUGUAAGGAAUUUGUAAGGGUGGGCCUUUCCACCAGUAACUAGAGGCGGUUUAGGGAGUGUAAAGCCAAUGGUAUAUAUUUCUUUUCUUCUCCUUCUGUCACACUCAUUGCCACUAACUAUACAAAUGAGCACACGGUUUUCCUUAUAAAAUCCAACUAAGCCUCAGGUAUGGGAGGAAACACCACUUGUUUUUGUUUGUUUUAGUGGGAAAUUGUCAAACUGUUUCCAAGACAAGAUAAUCUAUUCAGCUAAACAACUAUAUCCUUUUUUUUUUUUGGGAUAAAAAUUAAUUAACUCAGAUUUCAAAGAUUUUAGAUUUCAUUUUUCUAAAUAGUACUAUCCAUACAUCAUUUUUUACCUUAUACUCACUUUUAUUAGUUUUUGUUCAUUAAUCUUUUUCAUUCAUUCGAUCCAAUAGCUGGAAAUUAAGAGAGUGUAUGAGAGGUAAAAUUUGGUGUAUGGAUAGCACUACCCUUCUUAUAAAUAAAUAUCUAAGAAAAUUGCUACUAAAAAUUACUUAGAAAACAAACUUAUUGAGAGAAUAAAUCUUACAUCAAGUAAAAUAAGUCUUAUUUGAUAGUUUAAAUGAUUUUGGCAUCUCUCCCUUAUUGUGAGUUGUGUUCGGAUGGAUACUCACAUUCUAAUAUGAAAUCAAAGCAGGCUAUGCACUUGUUGAGUCAAGGGUCUACGUGCCCACACGUUAGCUAAUUAAUGUGGCCCACGUGCUAGACUUAAAAUGACCCCACACUUCUUUGUCAAUAAUUGCGAUAUCAUCAAAAAGUGGUGUAGUCUUUUUCGCGUGAUGCCUUUAUAGUAUUUCUCCGGCUGGAUUUGGAUUCUCCGGGUGGUGUAGUCUUUUUGAUGAGUUUGCAAUUGCAGUAUUUCUUAUAGCAUGAGUGGCCUCUCAUUCCUGAUCGAGAAAUUUCUCAUGUGGUUCUUCUUAAGCAAGGCUUCUUGUUGAGGAAUAAAUGUUAUUAUUCACUUUAUGAUGAUACCUGCCUUCACUUCUUCGAUUUUCAAGUGGUUCGCCUUUUGAUUUCAAGUGAUUUUACCCUGAAAUAAUUCUAGCCUUUCUUAAAUUACUUUCAAGCAUGUCCAGUCAGUCCAGUCAUUUAGCUACAAGCUUCAUACUUAAAUACUCCUGACUGCUCAAAUAGUCUUAAACAAUUUUAACUAUCUGAGUGGGCUUAAAUAUUCUUAACUACCUAAACAGGCUCCAAAUUACGUGUCCAAAUAGAAAUUACCUAACUACGUUGAUAAAUUUCAAUGGAAGAGAGUAUACUGUAUGCAUUUCUGUCGCUCCAUGUCAUAGUACCAACUUUGGUGGGAAAUUUUACACAAUGUCAAUGAUUUCCGGAGUUCUUGCAUUCUCUCAUCAUCGCCCAUAUAUUGCGUAUGCUUGCACAGGCCUAUAAAUUUUGAAUAAAAAACGUUUGAAUACUGGCAAAUUUAACGCCAUUAUAGGAUGAUAAAUGUUCCACUCAGGACAAAGUAACUAGUAGCUAAGUGUGUCCUCUGCGGAGUCCAGGGUGAAUCUACAAUUCACCUUAUCCGCGAUUGUGCAUUUGCUAAGUGUGUCUGGCUUGCUACUCCGAUUGGUAUCCCUCCUUCUCCGCCUUAUGUCCUCUCGAUGUUGGAUUGGAUUCUGAGUUGGACUUCUCACCUCAAUCCAUCGAACUUUGCUCUUGGUUUAAUGGUGCUUUGGGCAAUCUGGGGUGCACGAAAUAACCAUCUCUGGAAUGACUGUAUGGACUCUCCUGACAUCAUCGCUGCUUGGGGUCUCUCUUGGUGGCAAAAGUUCCAGAGAGUUGCUCCCCCCCCCCCUCCCUGAGACUCGCUACUCGUCACCAAGUCCCUCAUAGGUCGUCCCGCCCUCCUGCCCAUUUCCUUCAAGCUAGGGGGUUUUCAAAACAAUAUCCUCGAGAGUGAUUCAUUCCAGAUUGUGACGCAUCUACAUAAUUCUUCCAAUUAUUUUUCCGACAUUGGACUCUUCCAACUAUUUGUCCGACAUUGGACUCUUAAUUGAAGACUCGCGUGUGAUCCUGUCUUCAACCACUAGAGCUUAUGCUACCAUGUUCGUCGCCAAGUCAAUCGUAUUGCUCAUCGCCUUGCACGGUUUGCCUUUACUUCAAGUUCGUCAUGUAACUGGUUUGAGAAACCUCCGGACCUCAUCUCAAAUUUACUGUUUGACGAAGCUGUUUUGUAAUUGACGUAGGGCUUUGUAACUCUGUUUUUGAAAUGAAAUGAAUCUAUCGAGUACUUUUUCAGAAAAAGAAAAAAAAAAAACAACUACUGGCUAAAGAUGAAAAAAAGAAACGAGAUCAAGGUAGAAAUUCUCAGCAACAAUUUCUGUUCUAUAUGGUGAUUGUUACAACGAAACAAAAUUUACAUCAAUUAGCCCCAAGCAAACAUCAUCAUUUGCCGUAAUUUACAACCCUAAUCUUUGCUCUUGCUUUUGCGAAUGAAUCAUUCAAUUAAUUGUUGGGACCCCAGCAGCUCAAAAACAUGACUGUCCUCAAAGACUCCUCUGAUUUCUUGAGCUUCUCAUCUCUCACUUUACUCAGAGCUGAAGCAGAAGGAGAAGAGAGUUUGUUGUUAGCCUGAGAAAAUGAUCUCACUUGGCUCUUGGCUUGUUGGCCUGCAUAUCUCAAAGCAGAGUUCCAUCUGCAAAUCCCUUGGUCCUUGAGUGCCUCCACAACUCCAACACUUGCUGCCACUAUAGCCUUGCUUGCACUUGAACUCAUGAUUUCUUCUCUCUCCUUUCGAUAUUCUGAAUUCUUUUGGCAGU